AUGGGGUGCGCGCACGGCAAGUGCUGCCUGCCGCGGGGGCGGCGGGAAGGCGGUGGCGUGCCCGGCGGCCGCGGCGGCUCCACCCUCGGCCGCGCCGUGGUGCUGGGCGCGGGCCUGGCGCUGUAGUACGCCACGCUGACGGUGGACGGCCACUACCCGGACUCCCCGGGCCAGGCGUCGCAGGAUGCGUACCUCGUGGUCAUGCGCUUCGCGGGCGUCCCCGAUCUCCACCUCUUCGCGGUCUUCGACGGCCACGACGCCUGCGGAGCCGCCAGCUCCGGGUGCGCGUGGGACGGGCUCCCCCGCCUCCUCCUCCUCCUCGCGGCCGAGGACCCCGCGGCGGUGUUCCGGGUGGCUAUGGUCGGGGUCAACGAGGAGAUGCACGCGGCGGCGGCCGUGGACGACUCCAUGAGCGGGGCCACCGCCGUCGCGGCGCUCAUGGCCGGCGGCGCGCUCCAUGUGGCCAACGUCGGGGACUCGCGCGCCAUGGCCGGGGUCUGGCGCGACGGCCGCGUCGCCGCCGACGAGCUGUCGUGGGACCAGGCACCGUUCCGCGCCGACGAGCGUGCGCGCGUCAUGUCCGUCGAGCAGGUGGAGGGCGUCCACGACCCCGAGGCCGAGGGCUAG
rnacentral:rRNA from 1 species